rnacentral:lncRNA from 1 species
UUUGACAGCGAGAUUAAUCGAUCCAUAGGCAAUGGUUGUUUACCCCGAAAGUCCCAGCAGUGGGCUUGGGCAUUUCGUGACUUUGGAUUGAUUGAUCCCCAUCUUUUCGAGAGUGUCUUUGAAGAUGAUAUCGGCCGAACUUCCGGUAUCGAUUAGUACCCUAGCGACGUCGAUAUCUCUAAUCGCCAACUCGAUAACAAGGAGAUCGUUUCGAG